GUCCAUGGGGUCGUAAAGAGUCGGACAUGACUUAUUGACUGAACGCCACCACCACCAACAAGCAAAUUCAAGGUGCUGAAAGCCCUGGUUUGUCUGCUUCCUGUGCUAGGUGCCAAUCAAGCUGGUGCUAUGCUUUGCAGGCAAGGCAGGUGGGCAUAAUCAAUGACCAGCCCAGUGAAUGCUAUCUUUCAUUAAGCUUUGAGAAAAGCGCCCUAGAUGGGGAACCUGCACACACCAUGAAAUCAUCAGCUUUGUUUCCCCUUCUGUUCUCUGGUAAGAGACUGGGCCUUGUGCUUUUCUGAGCUUACAGCUUCUUAGAGAGAAAGAAAACCAAUUUGGAGAAAGGCGACUCCAGGAGCAGCGGGACUUCUGAAUUUUUUACCAGGCAAUUAGAAGUUGAAGCUCCAGGAGGUGACAGGAGCAGUGGGAAGGUGGAGAGGAGUGGGAGGGAGCAGGCACGCAGCCGCGUCCCGAAACCCAACCCGGGUGACCCGGACUCGCUUUCCUCUGCAGCUCGCCACUCGUCCCCCAAACUCCGCAGGGCGGCAGGCGCUCAGCCGCCCUGCCCACCGGCGCCCCAAGCUGUUUACCCGUUCUUCAGUCCAGCCGUCCGCCGGCCCGACCUCCCAUACUUGACCAUCUCUCUGCCUGGCCAGCCACCACGUGGCCGUGGGAACGCCGGGCUCCGGAGUCCUCCAGCAGCCGCGCCGCCUUGGCGCCCCAACCUCCCCGCGCCGCUCGCCCCGCGAAGCGCUGCGUACUCACCGGCUGCGCUCCCGACUUCGCCGCGCUCCACUUGAAACUGAAAGCAGGCGCGGAGUAGCCCGGCGGCGGGCUCUCGGAGCCGGCUGCCUCUGCUGGGAAAUCACGUGGGUUCUCGGUGCCCGGGCGCGGGACGGGCGGGGCGGCACACCCGCUCCAGUGCCUCCUGCGCUCAGCCACCUGCGCGGACAGGACCCGGGGAUGGCACCAAGGGAAAGCCCCUCCCGUGGAUGUGAAACCGAGGCGCAGGGAUGAGGAUGGGCGCACCCGGGGGGCGCCGGUAGACCCCGGGCUGAGUUCCGCUUUCCCUGCCUCCCUGGAGACUAAGGAGGGGUGGGCAGGGUGGGAAGGGAUGCCCGCUGGGUAGGAGGAGGAGACUUAGCCCCCAGGGGUCCAGCCUCCUGUUCCUCGUUGCUCUCCGGGAUGAAGGGAGGGGAGAAUCGAAACUGGUCUUACUGAGCCCUUGAUCCUUUGGACGGUGCUUAAACACACUACCUACGAAUUUACGAGGGAGGUCAAGGAACUUGCCCAACUCACACAAGGGUCACAGGCAGAGACGAGGGAGGAGUGGGACAAAGGGGACUGGAGGAGAGGUAAGAGGGUGCGAAGGCGUCCCCCGGAAGGGUCAGCAGCAGUCCUGAAUGGCCACUGGUCACUGCCCUUUCAGGACUGACUACAACCUCCCUGGCGUUUUGCAUUCCUCUGGGGACAGGCGGUCCUGUCC
ensembl:lncRNA